rnacentral:ncRNA from 1 species
UUAUUGGAGAGUUUGAUCCUGGCUCAGGACGAACGCUGGCGGCGUGCCUAAUACAUGCAAGUCGAGCGGACUUGAGGGA